GAUGAACGCUGGCGGCGUGCCUAAUACAUGCAAGUCGAGCGAACAGACGAGGAGCUUGCUCCUCUGCCGUUAGCGGCGGACGGGUGAGUAACACGUGGAUAACCUACCUAUAAGACUGGGAUAACUUCGGGGAACCGGAUCUAAUACCGGAUAAUAUAUUGAACCGCAUGGUUCAAUAGUGAAAGACGGUUUUGCUGUCCCUUUUAGAUGGAUCCGCGCCGGAUUAGCUAGUUGGUAAGGUAACGGCUUACCAAGGCGACGAUGCGUAGCCGACCUGAGAGGGUGAUCGGCCACACUGGAACUGAGACACGGUCCAGACUCCUACGGGAGGCAGCAGUAGGGAAUCUUGCGCAAUGGGCGAAAGCCUGACGGAGCAACGCCGCGUGAGUGAUGAAGGUCUUCGGAUCGUAAAACUCUGUUAUUAGGGAAGAACAAAUGUGUAAGUAACUAUGCACGUCUUGACGGUACCUAAUCAGAAAGCCACGGCUAACUACGUG
rnacentral:rRNA from 1 species